rnacentral:rRNA from 1 species
AAUCAUUAGUCUUUUAAUUGGGGGCCUGUAUGAACGAUUGAACAAGAAAUAUUCUGUCUUAAUAAAAUUUAUUGAAGUUAACUUUUAAGUAAAAAGGCUUAGAUGGGUUAAAGUGACGAUAAGACCCUAUAAAACUUUAUAAUUUUUAAUUGAAAAGAUGCAUUGGUUGUUCAAUUUUUUUCAGUAAAUUUUAUUUUAUUGGGGCGAUAGAAAUAUAAAGAGUAACUGUUUUUAAUGUUUGAAUGAUUAUUAUUAGAGAAUUAAUGAUCCUUUAUUAGAGAUUAUAAGAUUAAGUUACUUU